GAUCGUGUGGCCUAACGGAUAAGGCGUCGGACAUAGGAUCCGAAGAUUGCAGGUUCGAGUCCUGCCACGGUCG
rnacentral:tRNA from 1 species